rnacentral:rRNA from 1 species
AGACCCCGUGAACCUUUACUAUAGCUUGACACUGAACAUUGAGCCUUGAUGUGUAGGAUAGGUGGGAGGCUUUGAAGCGUGGACGCCAGUCUGCGUGGAGCCGACCUUGAAAUACCACCCUUUAAUGUUUGAUGUUCUAACGUGGACCCGUGAUCCGGGUUGCGGACAGUGUCUGGUGGGUAGUUUGACUGGGGCGGUCUCCUCCUAAAGAGUAACGGAGGAGCACGAAGGUUGGCUAAUCCUGGUCGGACAUCAGGAGGUUAGUGCAAUGGCAUAAGCCAGCUUGACUGCGAGCGUGACGGCGCGAGCAGGUGCGAAAGCAGGUCAUAGUGAUCCGGUGGUUCUGAAUGGAAGGGCCAUCGCUCAACGGAUAAAAGGUACUCCGGGGAUAACAGGCUGAUACCGCCCAAGAGUUCAUAUCGACGGCGGUGUUUGGCACCUCGAUGUCGGCUCAUCACAUCCUGGGGCUGAAGUAGGUCCCAAGGGUAUGGCUGUUCGCCAUUUAAAGUGGUACGCGAGCUGGGUUUAGAACGUCGUGAGACAGUUCGGUCCCUAUCUGCCGUGGGCGCUGGAGAACUGAGGGGGGCUGCUCCUAGUACGAGAGGACCGGAGUGGACGCAUCACUGGUGUUCGGGUUGUCAUGCCAAUGGCACUGCCCGGUAGCUAAAUGCGGAAGAGAUAAGUGCUGAAAGCAUCUAAGCACGAAACUUGCCCCGAG